rnacentral:rRNA from 1 species
UAAAGCAUUUGCCAAGGAACGUUUUCAUUAAUCAAGAACGAAAGUUAGGGGAUCGAAGAUGAUCAGAUACCGUCGUAGUCUUAACCAUAAACUAUGCCGACUAGGGAUCGGGUGUUGUCCUUUUUUUGGCGCACUCGGCACCUUACGAGAAAUCAAAGUUUUUGGGUUCUGGGGGGAGUAUGGUCGCAAGGCUGAAACUUAAAGGAAUUGACGGAAGGGCACCACCAGGAGUGGAGCCUGCGGCUUAAUUUGACUCAACACGGGGAAACUCACCAGGUCCAGACACAAUAAGGAUUGACAGAUUGAGAGCUCUUUCUUGAUUUUGUGGGUGGUGGUGCAUGGCCGUUCUUAGUUGGUGGAGUGAUUUGUCUGCUUAAUUGCGAUAACGAACGAGACCUUAACCUACUAAAUAGUGCUGCUAGCUUUUGCUGGUAUAGUCACUUCUUAGAGGGACUAUCGAUUUCAAGUCGAUGGAAGUUUGAGGCAAUAACAGGUCUGUGAUGCCCUUAGACGUUCUGGGCCGCACGCGCGCUACACUGACGGAGCCAGCGAGUAUCUACCUUGGCCGAGAGGUCUGGGAAAUCUUGUGAAACUCCGUCGUGCUGGGGAUAGAGCAUUGUAAUUAUUGCUCUUCAACGAGGAAUUCCUAG